UAUAUCAAACGAGUAACUUUACAAAGAGUUCCAAUUGAGUUACAAGAAUUAAUCCUAAUUCUACCCAAAUCCCGAAUCUCUUCCCGUGGCCAAGAGACUCAAUUUGAUAAGUAUUUCCCAAGGUGUAAUCAAUCCCUUUUGCCCAACCCUAGAGUUAUACCAAGAGACAACCCCUCUUGUUUCUCUCUAAAACCCUAGCCUUGUGUCGGCGGCAAAUCCUAAUUGCAAACCCUACAUUGUUGCUCCC
rnacentral:lncRNA from 1 species